UCCCCUGGGCCAUGUUUUCAUACACACAGCAAAAGCAAAAAUGGCUAACAGUGUGCUCCUGGGUAUGCAGACCUCGCCACCAUAACAAAAGCUCUCAUUAGGCAUAGGAGAGCCUGACUUUGACGGGUGGUGGUUGUGUGCUGUGAAUCCCUGCAGUGUUUCUGGACACAGCUGCUUCAAGCAUCCCCCGGCAUACUGACGUGAUGAAUGCAAAACGCACAGCCGACGAGGAAGAAGGGAAACACAACAGGAAGAAGAGGAAGAACAGGAAGUCAAAAGACAGAUUCUGAACAAGUAACAGACAGUAUUGUCAGAAGACCCACUGACCUUUUCUUCGGCUGUCCGUCCUAAAGUGGCCUCACACAUUAAUGAUAAUGAAGCAUUAAAGGAAAUGCCAUCAAAAUGACAUGUCGCGAGUGCCCAUCGCUAACAGAAUGAUAAUUUUGAUUGAUACCGCAAGCUCUCAUUUUGUAUGCCAGAUGUGGCCCCAGUGUUUUAUGCUUUGUUUAACUGGAGAUGGCAAGAGAAAGAGGGAGGGGGGGCAUAUCAUCCUCCCCUCCCCCCUUAACCCUUAAGCACAGGUUGAUGAGAAACUGUCAUUGAAGCAGCAAGUUCCUAUAAACAACCUUCAUGUCCCUUGGGAGCGACUGUCUUGACAUAUUCCAUAGGAACUACACUCCGGUAUAUGGUUCAAUUGCACAUUUUAAAGGUGACAUGCUGCAUCAUGUAUAAGGGAAUCCCACCGGCUGGCACUGAAUUACACGUAUGGAUAAGCCUGGUGUGCAGCUUCAGAGGUCCAGCCACAAAUGACUAAAAAUGUGGGGCUUGUGAUAUGUCUUCAAGUGGAGCUUUACACAAGCCUGUCUGUCUUUCUUGAUGUCUUGAACAGUUUCCUUAGUCUUCUCUAUUAUAUUACAACUCAGGUUGACAUGAA